rnacentral:tRNA from 1 species
CGCGAGAUAGAGUAGUAGGUAGCUCGUCGGGAUCAUAACCCGAAGGUCACUGGUUCGAGUCCAGUUUCCGCUA